UGGGGAAUUUUGGACAAUGGGCGAAAGCCUGAUCCAGCAACGAUGCGUGGAGGAUGAAGGUUCUCGGAUUGUAAACUCCUUUUGAGAGGGAAGAAAAAAAUGACGGUACCUCUCGAAUAAGCCACGGCUAACUACGUGCCAGCAGCCGCGGUAAGACGUAGGUGGCAAGCGUUACUCGGAAUUACUAGGCGUAAAGCGCGCGUAGGCGGAAUGUUAAGUCUGUUGUGUAAUCUCUGGGCUCAACCCAGAAACUGCAACGGAAACUGGCGUUCUUGAGUGAGGCAGAGGAGAUCGGAAUUCCUAGUGUAGCAGUGAAAUGCGUAGAUAUUAGGAGGAACACCGGUGGCGAAGGCGGAUCUCUGGGCCUUUACUGACGCUCAAGUGCGAAAGCUAGGGGAGCAAACGGG
rnacentral:rRNA from 1 species